rnacentral:lncRNA from 1 species
CCCGGGGGAAUCCCGCCAGAUCUCGCGAGACAGGAUGGCGUGGCGUGGGCGUUGCCGAGGCAACGACGACCGUACCCACGCCCGUAUAAAAAGCCUCCGGGAGGGCUGCGGUGGGCACGAGGAGAAUGGGUUGGUGCGUGUGCGUUGCGCGGGUUGUUCAAACGUGGAGUGACUGUAAGCCAUCCAUUCACGUGUCGACGCAGCGAGGAGGCGGUGGCUCAAUGAAUUUUAACGUCUGAGAAGUACAUGGACUGUAUGUGAAGGCAGGGAACCUGCUCUGCUGCUGUCAUCAUCGACCUCUGAUAUCACUUGGAGCAAGACAACCAACGAUAGCAGUGAUCUGACUCUGGAGUGGUAAGAAAGGAGGAGAGGAGGAGAAAAUCUGUAAGUGUUGGGAAGAGGACAAGAGAGGAGUCCCCAAGUUAUCAGGCUGGGAGAGAGCUCACGGCUGCAGGGCUGAGGGCAGCGGCUCAUCACACACUGAGCAACUUUGGGCAAGUCCAGGAGACGUUUU